UUUUUAAGUGUAUAAAUACUGUAUAAUAGAAUAUAAUGUAGUCGAGUUCUGUUUUUGAGAAGGAAAAAGGAUGUUAGAACGUGCUUAUUAAAUUUUACUUUGAUGAAUUGCAUUGUUUUCAUACUAGAAGUUCUUCUUGUUGAUAGUCCCUUUUCUGGGCAGCACUAACAUUUCUUUGCUGAGGUAGAUAUUGCACUUGCGAUGAUAAUGAGCAAAUGCUUUUCGUAGUUUUUCAUUUUUUUCCUUCAAAAAAAAAAAAAGCUAUGAUCUAGCUUACUCUUAUCUUGUAUAGUGUUGGGCCUUAUUCUAACUAACUGUCAAAUUGUAAGAAAGCUUUAGUGAGAAUAACAAAUGAUUAGCCAGUUGUUUGAAAUGCUGUUCACUGAUCUUGAAUGGUUUAGUUAUAAAUUAUUAUUUUAUAUAAUGUUGUUUAUUUAUUUACCAAUAAAAGUUGGUGAGAUUUAGGGCUGGUCUAGAAAGGAAAACUUGAACCCGCUCUUCACAAACUCUGUGGAGACUCUGCCAUUAGGUUGACAUCCUACAGCUCAAAAUAUAGCUAAGAGUAUCGUUGAUGUGCAGUUAUGGAAAUUGGAGUAAAAUGUACCUGAUUUUGUGGGACAGGCCAGAUGAUUUUGCCAGUCUUCUCAACUUCAUUUUCCAAUUGAUUGCCCUAAUACCCUAAACUGUGUUGUAGCUUGGACUCAAACUGUUGGAAUGGGUGAAGUUGUAGCUCACCGCUCACAUCCCUUGUCUUUCAACUCCAUGAAAUUCUUUACAUCAAAAAGAAUAUGGAAACCAGAAGGAAAACAAUUUUGAUGACUUCUUUUUGCUUCUCUCCUUCCAUAAGGAGAGCCAUAUAUGAUAGAGUACACAUAGUUAAACGGCUUUACACGUUAGUAGUUGGAACUUGGAAUGAUAGAUGUGCACUGUGUUACAUUUUGUUCUGCGCAUUUUGUUAGUAGGAAUUAAACAACAUUCCCCAAAUUGCUAAAUUUAGCUCUUUGAUAUAAAAAUGAUCCAGUAGGUUCCAUAUUGCACAUGAUAGAGUGGUUGGCAAGUAUGCUAGAAUGUUUUGGGUUCCCAUUUCAUACAGGAAGAAAGCUAAGGGAGGAGAAUGUUACCUUAUAAGUUGGCUCAAAUAUAUAUUAUUUGUUGAAAGUUUGAUGAUACAUGUCUGCAGAGAAUUAUAGAAUUGUUUGUUGUUAUAUUUCUAUGGUGUAGCUACAUUGAAAAUAUCUUCCGUCUGAAUUUUGGGAUGUUAUAUGUCUCAUGCGAAUGCAAUUUGUUGGUAAAAUGUUUGCAGGUGGAUGGAUGCAACAUUAGUUGACUUCUAUAUCAAUGUUGUGUGUAUUUCGGUACGUCUCAAUUAUUCCAGUCUUUCUAAGGUCCAUUAUCAUUUGAAAGUUAAAGUUUAUCAGCUUCUGACAUGAUAUAUUUCACCUACAAGGUCAGAGGAGACAUCUACACAGGAUAUGCAAUGAUGCAAUUUAAGCCUCUCUACUAAUGUAACCCUAAAUUGAGUCAAAUGGAAGAAAAAGGAUUCAUAUGACCAACUUUGACUAGAUUGAAGUUAAAAAUUAGUUGAGUUGAGCUUAAGCAUAGUAAAUAAAAAUUUGGUUUAUAGUUUAGCUGACAAUGUAGUUUAGCUUAGUUCAACUCAGUGGUUUAGGCCAAAUAAUGUGCACCCCAAGCUGAGAACCUCAACUUAUAAGUCUAAAAUCUUCAAAUCACUGCCAUUGUGGGCAUCAAGAUAUUCAAUAAAUAUUUGUAUAUUAUCUUAAAGAUCUUGUUGUAUGCAUUAUUUGAAUCAAUAAUGUCAUUUUGUGUUUGAAUCUAGGUUUGGGUUGCCUACAAGGAAUCAAGUUGGAUUAGUUCAUUCUUGUGGAUUACUUUCUUGAUAUGUUUUGGCAGGUAAUACAUCCUUCAUAAUUUUGACUCUCAAACAUAAAUUGUUAUUUAUUUGUUGAAGAAUAAUAUUCAUACUAAAAAUGCAGCUUCCUAUGGAAUCUAUCAAUCCACUGUACUCUAUAAUUUUCUAAAAGAUGAAAAAAAAAGAAGAAGGAAAGUAAGCUUUAUUCAUAAGAAAUUAGGAAUGGAAUUGCACUGGCAUUUUCCUUUUAUGUUACUCAUCUUACACCAGCAUGUGUUAUGAUAUAUUAUUAAUGGAAUUCAGUAGUACUGAUAUUGCUGUGAAAGUUCCAUAGUCAUUAUGAAAUAUAUCUGCCCUUCAAAGGUACAAGAAUCUAGCAGAACAUAAUGGAAAUGAUUGUAUGAAAAAUUGGUAUUCUUAGUACGAAAUUAAGGCACUUUUCUUCUGCAUAAUUUUUCGCUGUCCAAAGCUCAUCUCACACCAGCAUUUGCAUAUUGUUAACACUAUAUUGCUAUCAACAACUGAUAUUUCACUAUUCCAACUUUUCAGCGUUGCAACUUGUGCCUAUAUCUUCGUACAGCUUUUGCAGCUUACUUCUCAAGAUCCUCUCUACCUAGUUUUAUUGAAUAAAGACGACAGAAAACAGGUAUGAGAGAACUUAGCAAGAAAGGAGUUUGUUGACAUGAGGAUCUUAGGCCAAAAUGGUAUGUUUAUACAUUUCUGACAGUAUGACUGUGUAUAGCUUCUGGAUUCUCAUUUGAAAUGUUAAUUAGGAUUCAAGUUGUUUUGACAGAUUGAAUAAUCUUUUUCUGAAGGAUCUCAAAUCACUAUGGAUUUAUGCCAUAAUAACAGAUUGAAGCAGUAUAAUUAAUGUAAAUUACUUCUUUAACUACUCCUUGGAAUAUUUUACUGUAAAUGCAAGUUUGAGAUUGUGGGCAAAAUUGCAAUAUUAACCAGGGAUUGUUUUUGGGAGCGGUAGUGUGUCAUGUUGAAGUAAAGAUACAAUUUAAUGUUCAAAUUGGCACUUGAA
rnacentral:misc_RNA from 1 species